rnacentral:tRNA from 1 species
GCCCGGGUAGCUCAGUCGGCAGAGCAGCUCACUCGUAAUGAGCAGGUCAGGAGUUCGAAUCUCCUCUCGGGCU